rnacentral:rRNA from 1 species
UUGAUGGAGGGUUUGAUCCUGGCUCAGGACGAACGCUGGCGGCGUGCUUAACACAUGCAAGUCGAACGGUAAGGCUCCAGCUUGCUGGGGUACACGAGUGGCGAACGGGUGAGUAACACGUGGGUGACCUGCCCUGCACUUCGGGAUAAGCCUGGGAAACUGGGUCUAAUACCGGAUAGGACCGCACCGUGAGGGUGUGGUGGAAAGUUUUUUCGGUGUGGGAUGGGCCCGCGGCCUAUCAGCUUGUUGGUGGGGUAAUGGCCUACCAAGGCGGCGACGGGUAGCCGGCCUGAGAGGGUGGACGGCCACAUUGGGACUGAGACACGGCCCAGACUCCUACGGGAGGCAGCAGUGGGGAAUAUUGCACAAUGGGCGGAAGCCUGAUGCAGCGACGCCGCGUGGGGGAUGACGGCCUUCGGGUUGUAAACUCCUUUCACCAUCGACGAAGGGUUUCUGACGGUAGAUGGAGAAGAAGCACCGGCUAACUACGUGCCAGCAGCCGCGGUAAUACGUAGGGUGCGAGCGUUGUCCGGAAUUACUGGGCGUAAAGAGCUCGUAGGUGGUUUGUCGCGUCGUCUGUGAAAUUCCGGGGCUUAACUCCGGGCGUGCAGGCGAUACGGGCAUAACUUGAGUACUGUAGGGGAGACUGGAAUUCCUGGUGUAGCGGUGAAAUGCGCAGAUAUCAGGAGGAACACCGGUGGCGAAGGCGGGUCUCUGGGCAGUAACUGACGCUGAGGAGCGAAAGCAUGGGGAGCGAACAGGAUUAGAUACCCUGGUAGUCCAUGCCGUAAACGGUGGGCGCUAGGUGUGGGUUUCCUUCCACGGGAUCCGUGCCGUAGCUAACGCAUUAAGCGCCCCGCCUGGGGAGUACGGCCGCAAGGCUAAAACUCAAAGGAAUUGACGGGGGCCCGCACAAGCGGCGGAGCAUGUGGAUUAAUUCGAUGCAACGCGAAGAACCUUACCUGGGCUUGACAUAUACAGGAUCGCGCCAGAGAUGGUGUUUCCCUUGUGGCUUGUAUACAGGUGGUGCAUGGUUGUCGUCAGCUCGUGUCGUGAGAUGUUGGGUUAAGUCCCGCAACGAGCGCAACCCUUGUCUUAUGUUGCCAGCACGUUGUGGUGGGGACUCGUAAGAAACUGCCGGGGUUAACUCGGAGGAAGGUGGGGAUGACGUCAAAUCAUCAUGCCCCUUAUGUCCAGGGCUUCACACAUGCUACAAUGGUCGGUACAGUGGGUUGCCAGUCCGUGAGGGCGAGCUAAUCCCGCAAAGCCGGUCUCAGUUCGGAUCGGGGUCUGCAACUCGACCCCGUGAAGUCGGAGUCGCUAGUAAUCGCAGAUCAGCAACGCUGCGGUGAAUACGUUCCCGGGCCUUGUACACACCGCCCGUCGCGUCAUGAAAGUCGGUAACACCCGAAGCCAGUGGCCUAACACAUUUUGUGGGGGAGCUGUCGAAGGUGGGAUUGGCGAUUGGGACGAAGUCGUAACAAGGUAGCCGUACCGGAAGGUGCGGCUGGAUCACCUCCUUU